CUUUUGGGUGUGACUGCGUACCUUUUGUAUAAUGGGUCAGCGACUUAUAUUCUGUAGCAAGGUUAACCGAAUAGGGGAGCCGGAGGGAAACCGAGUCUUAAUUGGGCGUUAAGUUGCAGGGUAUAGACCCGAAACCCGGUGAUCUAGCCAUGGGCAGGUUGAAGGUUGGGUAACACUAACUGGAGGACCGAACCGACUAAUGUUGAAAAAUUAGCGGAUGACCUGUGGCUGGGGGUGAAAGGCCAAUCAAACCGGGAGAUAGCUGGUUCUCCCCGAAAGCUAUUUAGGUAGCGCCUCGUGAAUUCAUCUCCGGGGGUAGAGCACUGUUUCGGCUAGGGGGCCAUCCCGGCUUACCAACCCGAUGCAAACUGCGAAUACCGGAGAAUGUUAUCACGGGAGACACACGGCGGGUGCUAACGUCCGUCGUGAAGAGGGAAACAACCCAGACCGCCAGCUAAGGUCCCAAAGUCAUGGUUAAGUGGGAAACGAUGUGGGAAGGCACAGACAGCCAGGAUGUUGGCUUAGAAGCAGCCAUCAUUUAAAGAAAGCGUAAUAGCUCACUGGUCGAGUCGGCCUGCGCGGAAGAUGUAACGGGGCUAAACCAUGCACCGAAGCUGCGGCAGCGACACUCAGGUGUUGUUGGGUAGGGGAGCGUUCUGUAAGCCUGUGAAGGUGUGUCGUGAGGC
rnacentral:rRNA from 1 species